GUUUUGCUAAUUUUUGACUGCGCACAGAUCGUAUAAAACAAUUAUUGUGUAUCUAUUUAUAAUCACCUAAUAAGUCAUUAUUUAAAUUCUCUAACCAGUAUCCUUAGCACCUAUUUAUCUUUCCUUUAAAUCAGUAACCUCCCCCACAUAUCAAACUCAAAAUUCAACACGUAUAAAGGGAAGAAAAAAAAUCACAUUGUACACCAUCCAAGGGUUGAUAUACUGUUCAAUUCAGGCAUAACAAUGUCCAAAGGUUAAUCUACAGUUCAAUUCAGUCCAUCAUAUUCUAACUGCACACGUUGUAAGAAAUUCAAAGUUCCCUCUACUCAUCCUUCACCGUUGCUCGGUGGGUCUAGCUCGCCAUCCUGCUAUGAGCUCCGUUCGGUGGGUCCCUGUUCGGCAAAGCACAUGCGGUAAUAUACCGCGGUCAGGAACCUCCGUUCCAAAUCGUCAGAAGUGUCAAUACUGCGCAGAAAAAAAAACAAAUUAUCGUGGUUUAAAACAUUUCUUCCAUCUUUCUUUUCCUUUAGCUAAUUAAAAAAAAAAACCUUCUUACAUCACAUAAGCUGGCUGUAAAAUCUAAUUUAUCAAGUUUUCUUUUUACCGUAUUCUAAAUCCUAUGGCAGCACUCGCCUCAACCGCUUCUAGAGAAAAACAACCCGCGCUCUCCACGUUACUUCGUGACAUCACCUCACAAUCUGCAUACAAUGGUCUUUUUUCUUAUAGAGAUAAAUUGUCGUUUAUAUAUUAUAUUGCGUGGCCACGAAUUAUAACGAGAUUUCCGAAUGGCUGGAAACACAUGGACAACUUCGAGAGUGGAUUAAAAGGCAGAUGUGUACAGAAAUGGGCCAAAUAGCAGGAUGGGCAGCAGUGAUGGAGAAGCCCCACCCCCCCAAGGAAGGACCUUGACCACAAUAAGUUGGAAGACCAAUGGAUGCAAGUUUUGGGACAUUUUGGAAAGUUAACUUAGCUGUUGGAUCUCAAAUAAGUUUGAGUCCCAUCUAUCCAUCUACUAACCUCUUCUCCUGAUGAAGGUUUCAGGAAAGUUUGAGCUUAGAUGUGUAAUUCUGAUGUUCCACUUAUUUGAUAAUAAACUGUGUUUAUGAAAUAUUGAUUGUGGUAAAAGCAAGAGAGAAAAAAAUAAAAUUUAAUUUGCCAAUCCACAAUUAACAGAAAUAAAAUGUAUUAAUUUUGUACCUUAACUAAAUGUUAUGUUAUACUGUGCCAGGAGAUUUGUAUUUGUAGUUGCAGUAUUCUAUAGAGCAGUAGUCUAUAAUGACCAGCAGAUGGUGCUCAAUACAUUGUUUGAUUGUCAUGAGUGUUCAAACAUGUGCCCUUAUUAUUUUUUCAGUAGUAGUAUGUAUAAAUGGG